rnacentral:rRNA from 1 species
GACGAACGCUGGCGGCGUGCUUAACACAUGCAAGUCGAACGGAAAGGCCCUGCUUUUGUGGGGUGCUCGAGUGGCGAACGGGUGAGUAACACGUGAGUAACCUGCCCUUGACUUUGGGAUAACUUCAGGAAACUGGGGCUAAUACCGGAUAGGAGCUCCUGCUGCAUGGUGGGGGUUGGAAAGUUUCGGCGGUUGGGGAUGGACUCGCGGCUUAUCAGCUUGUUGGUGGGGUAGUGGCUUACCAAGGCUUUGACGGGUAGCCGGCCUGAGAGGGUGACCGGCAACAUUGGGACUGAGAUACGGCCCAGACUCCGAGGGGGGGCAGCAGGGGGGAAUAUUGCAAAAGGGGGGGAAGCCUGAGGCAGCAACGCCGCGUGGGGGAGGGCGGCCUUCGGGUUGUAAACCGCUUUCGCCUGUGACGAAGGGGGAGUGGCGGUAAUGGGUAAAGAAGCACCGGCUAACUACGU